AGGGAAUACAGUAGAGAAUACUGUUGCAGCGUUGUGUAGUGUGCACCGCAGAACAUGCGGAGAUGUGGAAUCACUGAUGUACACUGGAAACUAACACAACAUUGUGUGUCAACAAUACUCCAUAAAUUUUUAAGAAUUACACAUAUAUGAACCUGACUUCAGAUCUACUGACUCGGGCUUUGGGGGUUUCUGCGAAUGUGCUUUUCAAAGCUUCCUGGGUUAUACCAGCAGUUUGAUGUUUGGAAAAGAAGUCUAGAGUAGAAUGCAUUUCUCCCUCCGCCUCACUGAAGUGGCUCACCGUCGUUGGCAGAUGGCCCCCUCUAGUGGUAGGCUGGCAGUAAUCUCUGAUUUAAAACUGGAUCCUUUGAGCAAAAGGUGCAUGUUCAAAAGUGAAACUUUUUGGUUCUUUGUCUGAAGGGAAAAAAUAGUUAAAGUUGAAAUCAUUUAUGGCAUAGCUAACUUGGCCAUUUUCUUUUUAAUAUUUUAUUAUUUUAUUUAUUUGACAGAGAUCACAAGUAGGCAGAGAGGCAGGCAGAGAGAGGAGAAAGCAGGCUCUCUGCUCAGCAGAGAUGAGUAGAGAUGAGGGGCUCGAUCCCAGGACCCUGGCAGAAGCUUUAACCCACUGUGUCACCGAGAUGCCCCUGAACUUGGCCAUUUUUAAAAAUUGUUUACACUUCCGUCCAAAGGAUUCUGUUCCUACAGACCAUAGGGAAAGUAGUCACCUGUAAGUAGAGACUUCUUUGGCAUCAGUUUAACAUUUAAUACGAUUUUUACCUCCUCCUAGCAUGGAGACGCCAGCUCUACUUACCAAACCAUAUGGCCUCUCCGUUCAGCAGUCCUGGUGGACAAAGAGCAUUCUGUUCAGUCCUGAACAGUGGACUCACCAGCACAGGAGGCUUUAGAAGUUGGGUGUCCCCGCUGGGGCUUGGACAGAGAGCACGUGAGCAGUGCUGAGGCCCACCACACCGUGGCUGAAGCAACGCCUAAUCGUCCUUGCAUGGUAUUCAAACUUUGGGAGCACACCUGUUCGAAGUACACUGGGAACCUCUGACUUCAUUUACUCCUUGCUUUGGUAAAAAGAAAAUGGCUUCUGACCAGCAGGAAAUAAUAACCCAGAUGAAUCUAGAAGAACUUCUGUGUCAACUCUAGGUGGAAUAUUCUAUUACUUUCCGACUAACAAUUUGCCAAACUGAAGUCAUCUCUCUCAGUGGCACUGAGCCUGCUAGUUUCCUCUGACAGUCAUUUACUGGGCUCCUUGGAUUUAGGAAGAUCGGCACAGAAGAGAUGAGACGAGGCUUGACUAAAAGCUAGAGCUCUGGGCUAUAAUUUUUAUUCCUGUAUGAGCUGUGUGAUUCUUUUUUUUUUUUUUUUUUUUAACAUUUAUUUUAUUUAUUUAUUCAACAGACAGAGAUCACAAUUCAGAGAGAGAGGAGGAAGCAGGCUCCCCACAGAGCAGAGAGCCUGAUGCGGGGCUCGAUCUCAGUACCCUGGGAUCGUGACCUGAGCUGAAGGCAGCAGCUUAAUCCACUGAGCCACCCAGGCGCCCCUGAGCUGUGUGAUUCUUGGCCAGACUUUUUUUUCUGGGCUUCAACUUCAUCUGGCAAAAUGAUCUCUGAGGUAUCAUUCUGCUCUUAAGAUUUUGCUUAUCUGUUUUUAAUCUUUACCAUGGACUGAGUGAUAAGCUUCAUGUUUUGUUUUCUUUUUCUUUUCUUUUUUUUUUUUUUUUUUUUUAAAUGUGCUGUGUCAGAUAUUAAACGUAGCAAAGUUUUGGGUUACUACGAUGUUUCCAGUGCCUGGGAAAGAGCAGCAGCUUCCUACAUAUCUGAGUGAAGAAAUGAACUUUAUAUGUGACUCCUUGUAUAAACCCCAGAGUUUAAAAAUGGCAGAGAACUCUGUUACUUCUAGGGGCAGAGAGCGUAACCCUACAUGGCAGUGAGAUAAGGUCAUUUCUGUGACUGGUUUUUGAUUACCUGACUGAAUUCAGAUAGAGAACUCAGAGAUUUCUAGAAUAGAGAUUACAAAUCUGGGGCAUUCAGGUGCAAUCUGGGCUGAUGAAUUCUUUCUUGGCUUUUUUUUUUUUUUUAAGAUUUUAUUAAUUUAUUUGACAGACAGAGAUCACAAGUAGGCAGAGAGGCAGGCAGAGAGAGGAAGGGAAGCAGGCUCCCCGUUGAGCAGAAAGUCCGAUGCGGGGCUCCAUCCCAGGACCCUGGGAUCAUGACCUGAGCCGAAGGCAGAGGCUUAACCCACUGAGCCACCCAGGCGCCCCUUCUUUCUUGGUUUUAUUGUUUGGCCUCAAAGGUGCACUUUUAAGUGACUUAAAAAAAAAACAAAACAUUUGAAUUAGUUGCCAGCCAUUUAAAAAUUGCAAGCCUAUACAUAUAGAUCCAGUUUCUGGCUUUUCUUGGAAAAUCGGAAGAGCUGGCUGCACAAGGUUACCCAUUCCUGACUGACAACAGUCGGCAGGAGCAGAAGUGGGUCACGUGGGCUCUCCCAUUCACCCCAGUCCCCCUCCCCACCACUACCUGCCCCUAGAAAUUUGAUUCUUAUCAUCAGACUUCUGUCCAAGUAGGAGAUGACAGCUCAGAUUAUUGGCAAGUGUGGCUUCUCACUUAAUGACAUUCUAGAGUACAAAUAUUCUGUAUGAAUCAGAGCAAAAAAAAAAAUAAAAGAGAACCUGGAACACUGCGGAUAAAUUUGACGUUCACUUGAGAAAGUGUAGAAUCUGUAUUUUCAUUUUUCUUUUAUUAAAA